CCGUGCUAGGUGGGGAGGUAGCGGUGCCCUGCACCCGCAAUCCGCUCUAGCGGGACUGAAUCCCUUUCCGAGGUCACUCUUCUGUAAGGCUGCCUCAAGUAAGUGGUGUUGACGUCUGGGUCCUGCGCAAUGAGAAUCCACGAACCAUGUCAGGUCCGGAAGGAAGCAGCAUUAAGUGGAAUCUCUCAUGUGCCGCAGGAGUGCCUGGGCCGAGCUAACUGCUUGAGUAACGCUUAUGGAAAGUGAUCGACGAGAGGUGCACGG
rnacentral:SRP_RNA from 1 species